rnacentral:sRNA from 1 species
AGUGCGCGUCUCUGUCUGUGCGGCUGACCAGUUAGCGACAUGGUGGCACCCGUGCUGGAGACUUCUCACGUGUUUUGCUGCCCAAACCGGGUGCGGGGAGUCCUGAACUGGAGCUCUGGGCCCAGAGGACUUCUGGCCUUUGGCACGUCCUGCUCCGUGGUGCUCUAUGACCCCCUGAAAAGGGUUGUUGUUACCAACUUGAAUGGUCACACCGCCCGAGUCAAUUGCAUACAGUGGAUUUGUAAACAGGAUGGCUCCCCUUCUACUGAAUUAGUUUCUGGAGGAUCUGAUAAUCAAGUGAUUCACUGGGAAAUAGAGGAUAAUCAGGUGAGUAGACAUGUUUAUAAACAUAAGAAAUGACUUUUUUUGUUUGUUUGUUUUUUAAGAGGUAGAGUUUCACUGUGUCACCCAGGCUGACGUGCAGUGGUGUGAUCGUGGCUCACCUCAGCCUCCUAAGUAGCUGGGACUACAGGUGCCUGACACCAUGCCUGGCUGAUUUCUGUUUUUUUUGUUUUUGUUUUUUUUUUGUAGAGAUGGGGUCUUACUUUGUUGCCCAGGCUGGUCUCAGAAAUGACUUUUAUAUAUACU